GGCAACUUGUUUGCCAAAAAUGUGGUGGGACUGUUUUCCCUGGGUCCCAGACGGCAGCAGAGUCCACUCAGGUCCCAGGGCUAAGUGAGCUGCUCUUCCAGAGUCACCAGGACCAGAGUGAGUUCACUGGUAAUUAUGUCAUUGAUGAUAUUACCUCCUGGAAACAGCGUGUCAUACGUGCAACGCGGAGCAGGGAGCCAGGCCUCCUGGCCUCUCCGUAAGGGCUGGCAUUUCUUAGCUAUUUGUAUAAUGGUUGAGCUCCCCAGUUUUGCUGGGUCAUCCUGUCAAUGGCGGCUCUGCAAAAUUUACUAGCAGGUAAGACAGCAGAAACAGAAGCACAGAAAGGUGAAGUGAUUUGCCAAAGAUGACAAAAAGAAAUCAGUGCAAGGCUGAAACUACAGCCUGAAUCGCUUGAUUCCCACUUGCUUCACCCAGGAGAGUGCAGCCCUUCUCUACCACUUCUCCGCUGUCUACCCCAGAUUUCUGCUCUCUCAGGUUGGGAGCUAGGGUAAGAUGCAUUCCUUAAAAUCUUUAUUUUAAAGCUUCCAAAAUAACUGUGCCCACAUGGAGGCAGCAGCAGAACCUGCAGGAAACGUCCACGUACCAGGCUUGAUCAUGCUGAUGAAAUCAUCAACAGCGUAGCUGGUGUCUCGGGUGUCCGGUCCCCACCACAUCAGCUCACCUGCUGCAGGGACAUGGCUCCAAGUAUAUCCUUUUCCUCGGUGCAGGAGCCCUGCACAGCAACUGCAUCUCAUCAACAAAUUGCUGAUCAGUUACCCAGGGUCACGGAGUGGGAGAGAAGCCAAAGCAACCAAACUGCAGGAGCCAAAUGUCAGCAUAUCACACUCAGAAUAUGAACAUAAAUGUCACCAACUGCCCUAAAAUCUUUCCCAUUCUCCUCUGUUUCUCCCAUCUUACCACCUAGGACUAAAACCAAACAGCCAGGUAAUACACAGACUUCAUCUUCCACCUUCCCCUCCUCCUCCAUCUGUAAAUUACUGUUCUUUGCAACAGAGACGUAGGAGAAAGAACACAAGGCUGUACAGCGUUCCGCUGUUCAUCUGUGGAUUUUCUUCCCCUGCGUGCCAGGUUCCCCCUCCUGCCCCACACUCACGUAGUCACAUCCAGAAAUACAAAGCAUUUGUUGUCCUAAUUCCCAAUGGAUUAUUUACGUAGCUGAUAUUUAUGAGGACUUUGUAAGAGGCCUUGGUGCCUGUAUGUUUGUUUUGCCUUGGCAAAGCAAUUUACCCAAAGAGAAACCAGACCUGUGGGUUGGCGCCUGUGUGGGCAAGGAGUUAAAUCUGGGUGCUGUUUUGAGAAGUGCAACUUGACUCUGCACUUCCUGAACUCUCAAAAAGGUGCCACAAACUCAAAACACUGACAACCUUGAAUUUUCGUUAGCGGAGCCAAGCUUUGUCAAGCUUGCGCAAGUGCCAUGCAAUAGUGUUGUUAACCUUUUCUCAUUUACAUCCAGGUCUUGAAAGAAGAAGCGUGUAUCAGCUUUGUUGUGUGUCCUACUUUUAUUACACUCCCAGUCUUGUAGUUUUCCCCUGACGUCCUUCCCAAAUUGCUGGAGACUGAUUACUGCAAAAGAAGAAAAAGAUACUCUGUUUAGGAGAUCUGCAUGGUCUUGAACACACGGCCUCGUUUUGCCAUGAUCAAACAGUAACAUUUUGGUUAUAGAAAGAGCUUGUAUCUCCUCACUCCAGUCUUACGCCUGGAGGUGUACGCUGCAUGAAUACACCGUGAGCAGAUACCGGAGUUCAAUGGCAAUGAAUAUACAACGCAUUCUCCAGCAAACACAAGAAGCAGCAUGUCACUAAUGGGCAUGUCGUGAAGUGGAGAGUUAUUUGGGAUUUCCUCGAAGAGAUGAAAGACUCUUGACAGAUCAGUAGGCUCGGAAAAUGUGCUGGCCUAUCUAGAUAAGCGUAUGCUGGGAAGGUAAGAAGGAAGAUUUUGAGGGAGAAGACUCAAUCAGCUAUUUCUCUGGGAGGAAUAAUCCUCUGCAUUUAAUCUCAAUCUGUCUGUCACCUGCAGACUUGCAAAGCAUAUGAGAAAUGUUACAGACAUUCUCAGAGAAACCGCAUACUCGUACCAUUGUGCUGGAGGAUUCCUGCAUCUGUAUAGAGCUGGAGAUAGUAUUUGCAGUGGUGUUUUUGAAGACUUUCCCCUAUUACUGAAAGACAUGACAAAAUUAAAGGUCUUGGGCAAAAUCUGGUUCUCUUGCUGCAAGAUCCCAAAGUGAUUAUGGGAGUUUUGCUUGAGUUGAGUGAAGGAUGGGGCAAGACAGCUUUAUGGGGGAUGACAUACACUUUGACAGUGUUGUAGAAUAAACUGUUGUUAUUCUUGGGUCAA